rnacentral:rRNA from 1 species
UUACCAGGCCUUGACAUGCAGAGAACUUUCCAGAGAUGGAUUGGUGGCCUUCGGGAACUCUGACACAGGCGCUGCAUGGCUGUCGUCAGCUCGUGUCGUGAGAUGUUGGGUUAAGUCCGUACGAGCGCAACCCUUGUCCUUAGUUACCAGCACGUUAUGGUGGGCACUCUAAGGAGACUGCCGGUGACAAACCGGAGGAAGGUGGGGGAUGACGUCAAGUCAUCAUGGCCCUUACGGCCUGGGCUACACACGUGCUACAAUGGUCGGUACAAAGGGUUGCCAAGCCGCGAGGUGGAGCUAAUCCCAUAAAACCGAUCGUAGUCCGGAUCGCAGUCUGCAACUCGACUGCGUGAAGUCGGAAUCGCUAGUAAUCGUGAAUCAGAAUGUCACGGUGAAUACGUUCCCGGGCCUU